rnacentral:rRNA from 1 species
AUUGAACGCUGGCGGCAUGCUUUACACAUGCAAGUCGAACGGCAGCGCGGGCUUCGGCCUGGCGGCGAGUGGCGAACGGGUGAGUAAUGCAUCGGAACGUGCCCAGUAGUGGGGGAUAGCCCGGCGAAAGCCGGAUUAAUACCGCAUACGACCUGAGGGUGAAAGCGGGGGACCGAAAGGCCUCGCGCUAUUGGAGCGGCCGAUGUCGGAUUAGCUAGUUGGUGGGGUAAAGGCUUACCAAGGCGACGAUCCGUAGCUGGUCUGAGAGGACGACCAGCCACACUGGAACUGGAACCGGGCCAGGACUCCUACGGGGGGGAGAGUUGGGGAAUUUUGGACAAUGGGGGCAACCCUGUUCCGGCCAGGCGGGGUGGGGGAGAAGGCCUUCGGGUUGUAAACCGCUUUUGUUCGGGAAGAAAUCCUCUGGGCUAAUACCCCGGGGGGAUGACGGUACCGGAAGAAUAAGCACCGGCUAACUACGUG